AGUGGGGAAUAUUGGACAAUGGGGGCAACCCUGAUCCAGCGACGCCGCGUGUGUGAAGAAGGCCUGCGGGUUGUAAAGCACUUUUAGUGGGGAUGAAAAGUACAGGGUUAAUACCUCUGUAUCUUGACCUAACCCACAGAAAAAGCACCGGCUAACUCUGUGCCAGCAGCCGCGGUAAUACAGAGGGUGCAAGCGUUAAUCGGAAUUACUGGGCGUAAAGCGUGCGUAGGUGGUUUGUUAAGUCUGUUGUGAAAGCCCCGGGCUCAACCUGGGAAUGGCAAUGGAUACUGGCAAGCUAGAGUGCGGUAGAGGGGUGUGGAAUUCCCGGU
rnacentral:rRNA from 1 species